rnacentral:tRNA from 1 species
UGAUAAUUAGUUUAAACCAAAACAAAUGAUUUCGACUCAUUAGACUAUAGUAUAUUCUAUAAUUAUCAA